rnacentral:tRNA from 1 species
UCCCUGAUAGCUCAGUUGGUAAAGAAUCUGCCUGCAAUGCAGGGGACACCGGUUCGAUUCCUGGGUAGGGAA